rnacentral:rRNA from 1 species
AACCUGCCCUUAACUCUGGGAUAAGCCUGGGAAACUGGGUCUAAUACCGGAUAGGAGCGUCCACCGCAUGGUGGGUGUUGGAAAGAUUUAUCGGUUUUGGAUGGACUCGCGGCCUAUCAGCUUGUUGGUGAGGUAAUGGCUCACCAAGGCGACGACGGGUAGCCGGCCUGAGAGGGUGACCGGCCACACUGGGACUGAGACACGGCCCAAACUCCUACGGGAGGCAGCAGUGGGGAAUAUUGCACAAUGGGCGAAAGCCUGAUGCAGCGACGCCGCGUGAGGGAUGACGGCCUUCGGGUUGUAAACCUCUUUCAGUAGGGAAGAAGCGAAAGUGACGGUACCUGCAGAAGAAGCACCGGCUAACUACGUGCCAGCAGCCGCGGUAAUACGUAGGGUGCGAGCGUUAUCCGGAAUUAUUGGGCGUAAAGAGCUCGUAUGCGGUUUGUCGCGUCUGUCGUGAAAGUCCGGGGCUUAACCCCGGAUCUGCGGUGGGUACGGGCAGACUAGAGUGCAGUAGGGGAGACUGGAAUUCCUGGUGUAGCGGUGGAAUGCGCAGAUAUCAGGAGGAACACCGAUGGCGAAGGCAGGUCUCUGGGCUGUAACUGACGCUGAGGAGCGAAAGCAUGGGGAGCGAACAGGAUUAGAUACCCUGGUAGUCCAUGCCGUAAACGUUGGGCACUAGGUGUGGGGACCAUUCCACGGUUUCCGCGCCGCAGCUAACGCAUUAAGUGCCCCGCCUGGGGAGUACGGCCGCAAGGCUAAAACUCAAAGGAAUUGACGGGGGCCCGCACAAGCGGCGGAGCAUGCGGAUUAAUUCGAUGCAACGCGAAGAACCUUACCAAGGCUUGACAUGUUCUCGAUCGCCGUAGAGAUACGGUUUCCCCUUUGGGGCGGGUUCACAGGUGGUGCAUGGUUGUCGUCAGCUCGUGUCGUGAGAUGUUGGGUUAAGUCCCGCAACGAGCGCAACCCUCGUUCCAUGUUGCCAGCACGUAAUGGUGGGGAAUCAUGGAAGACUGCCGGGGUCAACUCGGAGGAAGGUGAGGACGACGUCAAAUCAUCAUGCCCCUUAUGUCUUGGGCUUCACGCAUGCUACAAUGGCCGGUACAAUGGGUUGCGAUACUGUGAGGUGGAGCUAAUCCCAAAAAGCCGGUCUCAGUUCGGAUUGGGGUCUGCAACUCGACCCCAUGAAGUCGGAGUCGCUAGUAAUCGCAGAUCAGCAACGCUGCGGUGAAUACGUUCCCGGG